GAUUUUUGGUAAAAGCUAAGUCAAACUUGACAUGGAGGUAGUAUAAUGGUGUGAAACAUACUCCUCAGCUAUGAGAUGGAGUAGGAAAAAAAACGUCACUUUUUUCUUGACAAAAGAUUGGAAGAAAAGAGACGAAGAGGACAUGCUCGAGUCCAGAUACUCAGGUAGCGAAUAGGAAGAUAAUGUUGUCUUUGCAUAACAUUUUUCUCCUGGCACCUCGGCCGAUCAAUCCUUAAGCACCGAGACCAAUGAACAAAGAGCAAUGCAGCACAAGUGCGCAACAGAAGAAUUUGCUGCCACAGAUUGCAACGACUCUUUCAUAUGUGAGAAAUAUAAAUCAAGGAGAAGAUUGAAAUUUAGAAGCGGCACCCUCCAAGAACAAGCAAAUAGUUGUUGGUAUGAAGACCGGCGAGAUUACUGGGCACAUUGGUGACAUUCACUGCCAAUCAAGGUUGAGGAGAAGCAAUACUGCUACAGGCUGCAGCUCCUCAUUCAGUACAAGGUAUGAGUAGAGGCACUGCAGUCGUGGCCAUCAGUUAGGGAGAUGGCCACUGAAGAUUACACACAGAUAUUACCCCUCAACAGCAGUUAGGGAGAUGAAAAUGUGUAGGAAAACAUUGCUUGAAAAGACCAGGCUGCACUACCGCAGGUGCUGUCCAUUAGACAGCAUCGUAACGCCAAGGAACAAUGCAGGUCCAAAGCAAGUCUUGGAACCAGUGGAUACAAAAGAAAAAGAAAGCUGGCUUAGAUAAUGCAUAUGAUAAUUUUCAAAAAAGCAAGCCCUGCCGGUCUGCCAAAACAGAGUGCUUCCCGUUCAUCACCAGAGAUGGCUGCAGGGAAU